rnacentral:sRNA from 1 species
UAAAGAAGGAAAAAAAAAGAGAAAAAAAAUCAAAAAA